rnacentral:rRNA from 1 species
GAUGAACGCUAGCGGCAGGCUUAAUACAUGCAAGUCGAGGGGCAGCAGCUCUGUAGCAAUACAGAGGCUGGCGACCGGCAAACGGGUGCGGAACACGUACACAACCUUCCUUUAAGUGGGGAAUAGCCCGGGGAAACCCGGAUUAAUACCCCGUAACAUUAUGAAGUGGCAUCACUUUAUAAUUAUAGCUCAGGCGCUUAAUGAUGGGUGUGCGGCUGAUUAGAUAGUUGGCGGGGUAACGGCCCACCAAGUCUGCGAUCAGUAACUGGUGUGAGAGCACGGCCAGUCACGACGGGCACUGAGGACACGGGGCCCCGACUCCUACGGGGAGGCAGCAGUAAGGAAUAUUGGUCAAUGGACGCAAGUCUAGAACCAGCCAUGCCGCGUGGAGGAUGAAGGUCCUCUGG